ACGGCUCAGUAACACGUAGUUAACCUAACCUAUGGAUGGGGAUAACCUCGGGAAACUGAGAAUAAUCCCCGAUAGAUCACAAUGCCUGGAAUGGUUUGUGAUUCAAAUGAUUUAUCGCCGUAGGAUGGGACUGCGGCCUAUCAGCUAGUUGGUGAGGUAAUGGCCCACCAAGGCUAUAACAGGUACGGGCUCUGAGAGGAGGGGCCCGGAGAUGGGUACUGAGACACGGACCCAGGCCCUAUGGGGCGCAGCAGGCGAGAAACCUUUGCAAUGUGCGAAAGCACGACAAGGUUAAUCCGAGUGUCUUCUGCUAAAGAAGUCUUUUGUUAGUCAUAGAACCACUGAUGAAUAAGGGGUGGGCAAGUUCUGGUGUCAGCCGCCGCGGUAAAACCAGCACCUCGAGUGGUCAGGAGGUUUAUUGGGCCUAAAGCAUCCGUAGCCGGUUGUUUAAGUUUUCGGUUAAAUCUAUGCGCUUAACGUAUAGGCUGCCGAAAAUACUGGACAGCUAGGGAGUGGGAGAGGUACACGGUACUCAAUAGGAAGGGGUAAAAUCCUUUGAUCUGUUGAUGACCACCUGUGGCGAAGGCGGUGUACCAGAACACGUUCGACGGUGAGGGAUGAAAGCUGGGGGAGCAAACCGGAUUAGAUACCCGGGUAGUCCCAGCUGUAAACGAUGCAAACUCGGUGAUGCAUUGGCUUGUGGCCCAAUGCAGUGCCGCAGGGAAGCCGUUAAGUUUGCCGCCUGGGAAGUACGUACGCAAGUAUGAAACUUAAAGGAAUUGGCGGGGGGAGCAC
rnacentral:rRNA from 1 species